rnacentral:rRNA from 1 species
GAUGAACGCUGGCGGCGUGCUUAACACAUGCAAGUCGAACGGAAAGGCCCAAGCUUGCUUGGGUACUCGAGUGGCGAACGGGUGAGUAACACGUGGGGGAUCUGCCCUUCACUUCGGGAUAAGCCUGGGAAACUGGGUCUAAUACCGGAUAGGACGAUUUUUUGGAUGCCAUUGUGGAAAGUUUUUUCGUUGUGGGAUCAGCUCGCGGCGUAUCAGCUUGUUGUUGGGGUAAUGGCCUACCAAGGCGUCGACGGGUAGCCGGCCUGAGAGGGUGUACGGCCACAUUGGGACUGAGAGACGGCCCAGACUCCUACGGGAGGCAGCAGGGGGGAAUAUUGCACAAUGGGCGCAAGCGUGAUGCAGCGACGCCGCGUGGGGGAUGACGGCCUUCGGGUUGUAAACUCCUUUCGCUAGGGACGAAGCGUUUUUGUGACGGUACCUGGAGAAGAAGCACCGGCUAACUACGUG